GGGUUGUGAGGUUAAGCGACUAAGCGUACACGGUGGAUGCCCUGGCAGUCAGAGGCGAUGAAGGACGUGCUAAUCUGCGAUAAGCGUCGGUAAGGUGAUAUGAACCGUUAUAACCGGCGAUUUCCGAAUGGGGAAACCCAGUGUGAUUCGUCACACUAUCAUUAACUGAAUCCAUAGGUUAAUGAGGCGAACCGGGGGAACUGAAACAUCUAAGUACCCCGAGGAAAAGAAAUCAACCGAGAUUCCCCCAGUAGCGGCGAGCGAACGGGGAGCAGCCCAGAGCCUGAAUCAGUGUGUGUGUUAGUGGAAGCGUCUGGAAAGGCGCGCGAUACAGGGUGACAGCCCCGUACACAAAAAUGCACAUGCUGUGAGCUCGAUGAGUAGGGCGGGACACGUGGUAUCCUGUCUGAAUAUGGGGGGACCAUCCUCCAAGGCUAAAUACUCCUGACUGACCGAUAGUGAACCAGUACCGUGAGGGAAAGGCGAAAAGAACCCCGGCGAGGGGAGUGAAAAAGAACCUGAAACCGUGUACGUACAAGCAGUGGGAGCCUCUUUUAUGGGGUGACUGCGUACCUUUUGUAUAAUGGGUCAGCGACUUAUAUUCUGUAGCAAGGUUAACCGAAUAGGGGAGCCGAAGGGAAACCGAGUCUUAACUGGGCGUUAAGUUGCAGGGUAUAGACCCGAAACCCGGUGAUCUAGCCAUGGGCAGGUUGAAGGUUGGGUAACACUAACUGGAGGACCGAACCGACUAAUGUUGAAAAAUUAGCGGAUGACUUGUGGCUGGGGGUGAAAGGCCAAUCAAACCGGGAGAUAGCUGGUUCUCCCCGAAAGCUAUUUAGGUAGCGCCUCGUGAAUUCAUCUCCGGGGGUAGAGCACUGUUUCGGCAAGGGGGUCAUCCCGACUUACCAACCCGAUGCAAACUGCGAAUACCGGAGAAUGUUAUCACGGGAGACACACGGCGGGUGCUAACGUCCGUCGUGAAGAGGGAAACAACCCAGACCGCCAGCUAAGGUCCCAAAGUCAUGGUUAAGUGGGAAACGAUGUGGGAAGGCCCAGACAGCCAGGAUGUUGGCUUAGAAGCAGCCAUCAUUUAAAGAAAGCGUAAUAGCUCACUGGUCGAGUCGGCCUGCGCGGAAGAUGUAACGGGGCUAAACCAUGCACCGAAGCUGCGGCAGCGACACUAUGUGUUGUUGGGUAGGGGAGCGUUCUGUAAGCCUGUGAAGGUGUACUGUGAGGUAUGCUGGAGGUAUCAGAAGUGCGAAUGCUGACAUAAGUAACGAUAAAGCGGGUGAAAAGCCCGCUCGCCGGAAGACCAAGGGUUCCUGUCCAACGUUAAUCGGGGCAGGGUGAGUCGACCCCUAAGGCGAGGCCGAAAGGCGUAGUCGAUGGGAAACAGGUUAAUAUUCCUGUACUUGGUGUUACUGCGAAGGGGGGACGGAGAAGGCUAUGUUGGCCGGGCGACGGUUGUCCCGGUUUAAGCGUGUAGGCUGGUUUUCCAGGCAAAUCCGGAAAAUCAAGGCUGAGGCGUGAUGACGAGGCACUACGGUGCUGAAGCAACAAAUGCCCUGCUUCCAGGAAAAGCCUCUAAGCAUCAGGUAACAUCAAAUCGUACCCCAAACCGACACAGGUGGUCAGGUAGAGAAUACCAAGGCGCUUGAGAGAACUCGGGUGAAGGAACUAGGCAAAAUGGUGCCGUAACUUCGGGAGAAGGCACGCUGAUAUGUAGGUGAAGUCCCUCGCGGAUGGAGCUGAAAUCAGUCGAAGAUACCAGCUGGCUGCAACUGUUUAUUAAAAACACAGCACUGUGCAAACACGAAAGUGGACGUAUACGGUGUGACGCCUGCCCGGUGCCGGAAGGUUAAUUGAUGGGGUCAGCGCAAGCGAAGCUCUUGAUCGAAGCCCCGGUAAACGGCGGCCGUAACUAUAACGGUCCUAAGGUAGCGAAAUUCCUUGUCGGGUAAGUUCCGACCUGCACGAAUGGCGUAAUGAUGGCCAGGCUGUCUCCACCCGAGACUCAGUGAAAUUGAACUCGCUGUGAAGAUGCAGUGUACCCGCGGCAAGACGGAAAGACCCCGUGAACCUUUACUAUAGCUUGACACUGAACAUUGAGCCUUGAUGUGUAGGAUAGGUGGGAGGCUUAGAAGUGUGGACGCCAGUCUGCAUGGAGCCGACCUUGAAAUACCACCCUUUAAUGUUUGAUGUUCUAACGUUGACCCGUAAUCCGGGUUGCGGACAGUGUCUGGUGGGUAGUUUGACUGGGGCGGUCUCCUCCUAAAGAGUAACGGAGGAGCACGAAGGUUGGCUAAUCCUGGUCGGACAUCAGGAGGUUAGUGCAAUGGCAUAAGCCAGCUUGACUGCGAGCGUGACGGCGCGAGCAGGUGCGAAAGCAGGUCAUAGUGAUCCGGUGGUUCUGAAUGGAAGGGCCAUCGCUCAACGGAUAAAAGGUACUCCGGGGAUAACAGGCUGAUACCGCCCAAGAGUUCAUAUCGACGGCGGUGUUUGGCACCUCGAUGUCGGCUCAUCACAUCCUGGGGCUGAAGUAGGUCCCAAGGGUAUGGCUGUUCGCCAUUUAAAGUGGUACGCGAGCUGGGUUUAGAACGUCGUGAGACAGUUCGGUCCCUAUCUGCCGUGGGCGCUGGAGAACUGAGGGGGGCUGCUCCUAGUACGAGAGGACCGGAGUGGACGCAUCACUGGUGUUCGGGUUGUCAUGCCAAUGGCACUGCCCGGUAGCUAAAUGCGGAAGAGAUAAGUGCUGAAAGCAUCUAAGCACGAAACUUGCCCCGAGAUGAGUUCUCCCUGACCCUUUAAGGGUCCUGAAGGAACGUUGAAGACGACGACGUUGAUAGGCCGGGUGUGUAAGCGCAGCGAUGCGUUGAGCUAACCGGUACUAAUGAACCGUGAGGCUUAACCUUACAACGCCGAAG
rnacentral:rRNA from 1 species